UGGACAAGAAACCACAAGUGUCUUCAAUCUAUCUUCUGAUGCUCAAUCUGUCCCAGUCAAUACUAAUGAACCCACUGAAGCUCAAUUUGUCCCAUCUAAUCAAGAAUCAAGCCAGAGAGAAGGUGGCAGUGGGAGAAAGCGUAAGCAAAGCCAUGUUGGAUUAGCUCUUGAAAAUUAUGUGGAGUUUAAAAAGAUCCAAAAUACAGAAACACUUGAAACUCUUAAAGAACAUAAGAGGCAAGAGGAUCAAUUUUCUAUUAGCAAGUGUCAGGCUGAAUUGAAAGGAAUGGAUGGAUUAACAGCCGAGGACAAAUCAUACGCUUUGGUGCUUUUUGAAUAUGCGAUAAAUAGAGAGGUUUUCUUAACAACAACGGAGCAUGAUGUUAGAGAAAUUUGGCUCAAGCGCAAAAUUAGGUUGCUUAGAAGCAGUGUGCAGUGAUGCGAGACAUGGAUGCGAGGUAUGGAUAGUGCAAAGUGGAAGCAACACAUGAAGUCGACAUGGAGAAGGAAAAUGCAAUGACAGUCCACAUGAAACUUGUGAAAAAAGAAUUAAAUCCCAAAGUUCCUAAUGAAGAGACUUGUAUUACAGUUUUAUGUUAUAUUGUCUAUCUAUUUGUGUGAAUGGAGAUGACCUUGAUGGAUGGAUUAGCUUCGCUAAUGCUUUAGUUUGCUGCUGCUGCUUAAGUUUGCUACUGAUGAUGCUUCUACUGUAAUUUACUACUUUAUUUUGCUCGACAAACUAUUGUGAUGAUGGAUAAAGUGUGAUGUGAUGAUGGAUGAACC
rnacentral:misc_RNA from 1 species